rnacentral:rRNA from 1 species
UACAGAGGGGGCAAGCGUUGUUCGGAAUUACUGGGCGUAAAGGGCGCGUAGGCGGCCCGCUAAGUCGAACGUGAAAUCCCCGGGCUCAACCCGGGAACUGCGUCCGAUACUGGCGGGCUUGAAUCCGGGAGAGGGAUGCGGAAUUCCAGGUGUAGCGGUGAAAUGCGUAGAUAUCUGGAGGAACACCGGUGGCGAAGGCGGCAUCCUGGACCGAGAUUGACGCUGAGGCGCGAAAGCUAGGGUAGCAAACGGG